UCUGGUUGAUCCUGCCAGUAGUCAUAUGCUUGUCUCAAAGAUUAAGCCAUGCAUGUCUAAGUAUAAAUAGUAUACAGUGAAACUGCGAAUGGCUCAUUAAAACAGUUAUAGUUUAUUUGAUAAUUGACAAUUACAUGGAUAACCGUGGUAAUUCUAGAGCUAAUACAUGCUUAAACGCCCGACUUUAUGGAAGGGUGGUAUUUAUUAGACUGAAGCCAAUAUUCCUUGUGUCUAUUGCGGUGAUUCAUAAUAACUGAUCGAAUCUCUUUUUGAGAUAAAUCAUUCAAGUUUCUGCCCUAUCAGCUUUCGAUGGUAGUGUAUUGGACUACCAUGGCAGUAACGGGUAACGAAGAAUUAGGGUUCGAUUUCGGAGAGGGAGCAUGAGAAACGGCUACCACAUCUAAGGAAGGCAGCAGGCGCGUAAAUUACCCAAUCCUGACUCAGGGAGGUAGUGACAAGAAAUAGCAAACCGGGAACCUCAUGGUUUCACGGUAUUGCAAUGAGAACAAUUUAAAACCCUUAGCGAGAAUCAAGUGGAGGACAAGUCUGGUGCCAGCACCCGCGGUAAUUCCAGCUCCACUAGCGUAUAUUAAAGUUGUUGCAGUUAAAAAGCUCGUAGUUGAACCUCUGUCUGGGGCUAGUUUUGGCUUUGGUCAGGCUAGUUCUAGGCAUCCGCCUACAAGACUUAGAGGGCAUUCAGUUGUUCACUAGGAGGAGUAGGCAUUUUACUUUGAAAAAAUUAGAGUGUUUAAGGCAGGCAAUCGCCCGCAUAUAUUAGCAUGGAAUAAUAGAAUAGGACACUUUUCCAUUUCGUUGGUUAUUGGAAUCGUGUAAUGAUUAAUAGGGACAGUUGUAGGCAUUUGUAUUUAAUUGUCAGAGGUGAAAUUCUUGGAUUUAUUAAAGACAAACUAACGCGAAAGCAUUUGCCAAGGAUGUUUUCAUUAAUCAAGAACGAAAGUUAGGGGAUCAAAGACGAUCAGAUACCGUCCUAGUCUUAACUAUAAACUAUUCCGACUCAAUGUUUGACUGGCUUAUAUAACCAGUUGAGCGUUGUAUGAGAAAUCAAAGUCUUUAGGUUCUGGGGGGAGUAUGGUUGCAAAGCUGAAACUUAAAGGAAUUGACGGAAGAGCACAACCAGGAGUGGAUUCUGCGGCUUAAUUUGACUCAACACGGGGAAACUUACCAGGUUAAAACAAUAGUGGGAUUGACAGUUUGAGAGCGCUUUCUUGAUUGGUUGGGUGGUGGUGCAUGGCCGUUCUUAGUUGGUGGAGUGAUUUGUCUGCUUAAUUGCGUUAACGAACGAGACCUUAACCUGCGGAAGGAUCA
rnacentral:rRNA from 1 species